ensembl:lncRNA
UUUGGAGACCCUGCCUACGAAUAUCCUUCAAUGUUUGCCCUUUGACCUUGUGUUCCCCAGGUUGCUCCAUAGUGCUCCCUGACACCGCACCAAACUCUAGACGUGGAGCCACAGACACAUGUCCCUCUCUGAAGAGGAGCUCUGGGCGUCCACAUUUCCUGGCUCAGCAGCAUCUCUGAUGAACGAGAUCCUACUCUGCUGGCAGAUGGAAAAGUACCUGUUUGGAAGACCCAAGGUCAGUCAGUUCAGUCGCUCAGUUGU